ensembl:lncRNA uncharacterized LOC114845072
AUGGCAAUCACUACCGGAGGUGCAAUGCAGGGCCCAAGGUCUAAACAGUGGACUAAAAUAAAACCAAAACCUGGAAGAAAAAAUCUUAAUCCUCCAUGGACAGACAUAUUUUAUCACGAAUUUUUAAAACAAAAUCCAUCUUGUACACUUUCAUUCAAGUACCAACAUGUCAAGACGGGUCACAGUCGUAAAAAGAAAUCUCUAUUUUUCCAUGCAUCAGCAAGACGUACAUUUGAUGGAUGCAAGGCUGUGUAUAUCUUUACAAAAAAGUCCAAACCACAGUCAACAGAUAAAAAAAUCUGUUUCAAGGUUAGGCGACAAGGUGAAGUAAAACAUCUUAAACAACAACAGAAAUGUAGACCAGCUAAAUACCUGCGAAGGGGAGCUAUUGCAAAGGCUUUAUCUGCAGGUGUCAGCAAUUACUAUUAUAAUAUGUUGACAAAGACUCCAACACAGGAAGUGCUCGCUGGCAACAUGAGUAGAAGCCUAACCAAGGAUGUUUUGAAGAAAAUAUCAUCCGAGGUGAGAAAGAGUUCAAGGCUUCACAAUGGCAUGAUGCUUGAGCUCAUGCUAACUCAAAAAAUAAUCAAACAGAGUGGCAGUCAUGCAGCAUCAAAUGGCUAUCUCCAGAGCCUACAGAUAGAUCCUUUUGCUGUUCAUCUUUACACAGAAAGCGGAAUCCAAAUAUUAACAAAGCAUUUAAAAAAGUCAGCACCCAUCACCUUGCACCUUGAUGCAACAGGCAGCGUUGUACAGAAGAUUCCUGAUCAAGAUAAGCGGGUCUUGUAUUAUGCACUGGUUUUGCCUGGCAUGGGAAAGGAUAAGCCUCCUUUGCCUGUUGCAGAGCUUAUUUCAAACAGUCAUUCAAUCCCAACCAUUUCAUACUGGCUCAUGGAAUUCAGGAGGAAGCUGUGUUAUGCUACAAAGAGGAGGAUAGCACAGAUUGAAACUGACCACAGCUGGGCUCUGAUCAACAGUGUACUUCUUUCCUUUAAUAAGGAAAAUAUUUCAGUGUACCUUGACAGAGCCUUUGAAAGUAUAUAUUCCUCAACACUCCAGAAAAUCCCUGCCUUUACUGUGGUACACAUCUGCUCUGCCCACAUCAUGAAGACAGUGGCUCAAGCUUUUGGAAAAAAAACUGCAGACAAAGGCAUUAAAGAGUAUGCAAGCUUCACAUUUGCUUGCCUUCUCAACUGCACAGCUAUGGACGAGGCUCUUGAUAUUUUUUAUCAUAUGUGUGUGGUUUUCAAGGCAGAGGAUGAUACACCUCUGGUAAAAAGCAGCAAGACUUAUUUGAAUAAGUGCAUCCUACAAACACAAGACACAAAAGUAGAAGAAAGUGAAGCACAUACAGCUGAAACUAAGUGCAGCAGGGACAGUGGUUCCAACAGUGUUGUUGGAAAGUCACCUUUUACACAAGCAUUUCAAGUCAAAUGUGAUCAGGCAGAGUGUGAUAUCCUGUCUGAGGAUGUAACUAGUGUCAAAAACCAGUUCUUCUGCUCUGGCAUCAUAGAGGUCCUCCUUGAAUCCUACAUGGGAAUCUUCCCAUUGUGGAGUGGUGUGCUGCUAGGAGAUCUUAUGAGACACAGAAAAGUCAGAAGCUGUAAAAUAGAAGCCAAAGGAAAGACAAGAGAGACUAACUGUCACGUUGAACUCUGGUUUGGCUUAGUGAAGCAUUCCAUUCUUCAAAAAAGAAAAUUCUUAAGACCGGCAGAAUUUGUUUCUAAAAUGUUUGCCUCCAUACAAGGGCGUUACUUGGAGCAUAUCAACAAACAUAAUCUGCCAUUGGACAUUCUGGAAAAAAAGGUGUCAGGUUGUACAAACACAGGGGAUGACCAGCAGGAACAGUGGGCCAAACGGGAGAGCUCAAGUCAUUCCAGGACUAAAUCUAAGUAUUUUAAUCCACCUGCCAAACUGCCAAUGCCCAAAACUAAAAAAAUCCAACACAAAAAAAUUAACAGCACAAAAGAGAACCUUGGUGACAAAGAUGCCCAGUUAACAAGGCUGUGGGGAAGAAAAGACACAGAGGUGAUUGUUGCAGUACUUCAGUUACAAACCAAGGGUCGCAACAUUGUCAUCCAUCACAGCGAGCUCUGUUCACUUCGUCCAAAUCAGUGGUUAACAGGCGAGGUCAUUGAAGGCUUGUUUCAUGUUGCUGCCCACAAGUUAAAUAUCUUAAGCAAGAUCUACAUACUGAAUCAUUACACAGCUGGGGCAAUUUUGUUUGGUGACAGAACACAACUCUCUCACUACAGUUUACCAAAGGUAAACCUUAGCAACUACCAGGCUGUUCUGUCAUUUGUGCUGGUCAACAACAAUCACUGGAAGAUGCUGUACAUUAAUGCAGCAAGAAGCAUGGUGUAUCUGGUGGAUCCAGCUCCUUCAAAAUUGGAGUUGCAGCAUUCUGAAGAUGCAGCAAAGAAAAUCCAGGAGUUUUUGAAAAUGAGGAGAACCUGUCAUGGAAAAACUGACUGGGUGGACAUAAAGUGGAAAGGUGAACUUAUGAGCCACCCCGUUCAACAGGAUGGACAUAGCUGUGGUGUGAUUGUCGUCAAGAUGGCAAAAUCAGUGAUGGAAAGCUUUCCUAAAAUACCAAGAAUGACUUUUGGGACUUCAAAAAAGGAAAUGGCAAAUGAGAGGCGAGCCCUGGGACUUGAAGUCCUGGAGGCCUCAAUCUUUGAUGAGCACACCAACUGUGCUAUGUGUGCCACUUUUAAGCCUCCAGGAUCUGGACCAGGCAUUACAAACUGGGUCCAGUGUGAUGAGUGUGAAAGAUGGUUUCAUGCUCAGUGUCUAUGUAUGAAGAAUGCAGAGUUUGAAAAGGCCAAAGGAGGAAUGUGGAACUGUGUCUUAUGCGAAUGA